rnacentral:rRNA from 1 species
GACGAACGUUGGCGGCGUGCUUAAUACAUGCAAGUCAACUGAAGCAGUGGUAGCAAUAUCGCUGUGGAGGUGGCGCACGGGUGAGUAACACGUGGGUAAUCUGCCUUCAGGUCUGGCAUAACUCCGGGAAACCGGGGCUAAUAGCAGAUGAUGCAGCGGCUCGACAUCGAGACAGUUGUUAAAGCUAUGGCGCCUGAAGAUGAGCCUGCGUCUGAUUAGCUAGUUGGCGGGGUAACGGCCCACCAAGGCAACGAUCAGUAGCUGGUCUGAGAGGAUGAUCAGCCACACUGGAACUGAGACACGGUCCAGACUCCUACGGGAGGCAGCAGUAAGGAGUAUUGCUCAAUGGGAGAAAUCCUGAAGCAGCAACGCCGCGUGAGGGACGAAGGGCUUUUGCUUGUAAACCUCUGUAGUGAGAGAAAAAAAUCCCAAUCUUUGGGACAUGAUGGUAUCUCAAAAGUAAGCCCCGGCUAACUACGUG